UACGGAGGAUGCAAGCGUUAUCCGGAAUGAUUGGGCGUAAAGCGUCCGCAGGUGGCUAUGUAAGUCUGCUGUUAAAGAGUGAGGCUCAACCUCAUAAAGGCAGUGGAAACUACAUGGCUAGAGUGCGUUCGGGGCAGAGGGAAUUCCUGGUGUAGCGGUGAAAUGCGUAGAGAUCAGGAAGAACACCGGUGGCGAAAGCGCUCAUCUGGCCCGAUACUGACGCUGAUGCGCGAAAGCUAGGGGAGCGAACGGG
rnacentral:rRNA from 1 species